UUUGCAAUUUCUUCAAUCCGUUCAUAUGAAACCCGACGCGGGAUCCAUUUACACUAUUCGGGUCAUUCGGGUACUUCCAUAUUUAAAGCUCGAAACCGUUGAUUUGUUUCAAUUCUCUCUCUCUUCUCUCAUACGUUUCUCUCUUUUCCUUCUGCAUCUCUCAAUAUGCUCUUGGAGACAUCUUCAAUAUCAAGAUCGGAAGCUGCGGCAGAUGCAGAGUGUUUUACAAGAGGUUUCGAUUGAUACAUAACUUGAUGUUACGGUUUCUGUUUUGUCCUGCGAACAAAUGAGUGGAUAUCGUCUUCAUCUUGCAACAAGUUUCAGAUCCGAUCUUCAUCUUUUCGUCUUCUGUUCAAUCAACGCAUCAUUUAAACAGAUCUGUUUACGAUCUACGUUCUGAUGCGGUUGUUUAUGUUUUUAUGUAUCAAUUUGUGGCGAUUUUGCAGGAUGCCUAGGGUUUUGACGCAAGUUUUUGACUUUUUUUGUUGAUCUACCUUUGAUCGGUGGUAACUGGAUUGUUUAGCGUCGAUUUGGUUAUCAACAUCUCAGAUCUACAGUCUCUUGACGGCGUGUACGGUAUGGAAGAGUUCGGUACGUGCCUAUUGUUGUUCAGGUAUAACUUCGUCACGUCUGUUUCAAAUUUAGUGUUUUGAGACAAUUUUUUUUUUUUUGGAAAAGGCUUUAUAUUGAGGGUUUUGUCAAGUUUAAUGAACACCUUCAGUGUUUGUGAAUUUUAUCCGACGUCUUCGAUUCUUUGAUUUCGAUAUUCACAGGUAUGGUUUAUUUCUGCGUUAAUUGGAAUUUGGAUUUGGUAGUUCUGGAUUUUAAAACAGGUGUUUGUUUGUUAAUUGUUUGUGAUAGUUGUUGUUUUAGUUCGAACAAUAAUCUUCGAAGAUGACUUGGUUAUUGCUAUCUAACUCAAAUUCUUAUUAUGAGAGGGAUGGGUUGCAACGACACUAAGGUUGUUGUUGAUUGUUAGGCUGGAAAAUGCCAGUUAAGGAGUACGAGUUUGAUGAAAAGAAGAUGACCAAUGUGCAACCUCAUUAGGUUAAAGUUCCAGACAAAUUGCAAUUGCAUAAAUAAUUAAUGGAAUGUAAGGCGAUGAAAUAACCCGCUUGCAAAAGACUCAAGAGAUUUAGAAAGAUUAAUUGAAGGUUAAUUACCACCAAUCUCUUCUGAGUAAGCUUAUCGAUCUUAGCAUCAGUGUUGAAAAAGAAAACUGGCUACCAAAGGGUCAUGUAUUGGUAUCACAUCUGGUGCAUCUACUCCCAACAAGGCUGUUGAAGAUGUUUCUAUGAGGGUGUUUGAGAUCAGACGCGAAGAAUCACUUCAGCUCACAUAGAGAAAAUUAGGUAGGAGAAAGAUUAAAAUCAUUUGGAUCGAAAACACGACAAAUUAACAAGUGACAUUUUGUUACAAAGGAAUAUUAAAGCAGUUAGACAAGUCAGCGGAAUAUAUGUGGUGACUGAUGACCAUGAUAAUGAUGAAAACAUGGUUAGAAAUAAAAAAAAGGCGAGCCCAUUCUCAAUGAUGGUCACUUCAGAUCUUAACAUCACACAAUCUUCAGCCGGUGUGAUGUAGUUGUACAAAUAACGAAUGGUUGAUCUAAGAGCUCAGUUUAUGAUUUGUGAUUCUGGAACCAAACAAAGACAGGGUAUGUGAGUCUCAUGUGAUGGUACUGGAAAAUCAGUCAUGUCGCCCAAGAUGAUGGCCCGGGUCAAGCUUCAAGGUACACACAAAGUGACCAUAGCACAAACUUGAGACACAAUGAGAGUAGAGUAGUGCAUCAGGAAACAACGGAACCAUUUUUAAAACAAACCGACCCAACGCAAACCCGUUCCGACCUGAACCCGUUCUGACCCAAACCCAACCCCAUCUAAACCUGUUCUGACCUAAACCAAAACUCCCUUUUUUUAAAUGUCCCGUGUUGACCCGAACACGUUUUGACACACCCGAUUUGACUCUGCAUGCCACCUGAUCCGACCGGCAUGUCACCUGACCUGACCCGCAUGUUUGGCCAAGUGUAUUGAACAUCUAAUAAAGAAUGAACUGCUACACUUUUGCUUUUUUGGUUCUGAAAAUCUGUAAGUAAUCACUUUAUUAUUUUGUUGCAUUGUUGAUGGUUACUAAUAUUUUUUUUUCAUAUACUUUGUUCUCUUUCAUACUGGUACAGUGGCCAAAAGAUUUAUCUUGGUAGGGGUAUUAGACUAUUCAAUUCAAUUCAAAGUUAUAUUUAUAUAAUGUGGACUCUAUUUCUUUUUUUUUCAUUUUAAUAUUGUUUCCAAACCUGUAGACUUUCUAUUUGCAAAUUUCAAAUGUAAGAGGUACUUUCAUAACAAGUUGAAGCCUUCCUUACAUGGACGGAUAUGUAGCGAAAGCAGCACAAGAAGGUGUGAGAUGUUUGCUGAGCUAAAUGUUUUAUAAUAUGUUAACUGUUAGAAUUCGUAUGAUUUUGUCAUAAACAGAACUA